UUAUUUCACCUGUCGAAAGAAGGAGGGAGGAAGGGAAGGAGGGGAGGGAUGGGGCGGAGACCAUUUUAUGAGCCCAGUGUCCGUGAGCACAGGUGAGGCAGACAUACUGAAUCUACCUGGCAGAAGGUUGCAGCUUCGAGGGUUGCCUCUGAUUUUUUCUCUUUUUUUUUUUCUCUCUCUAAAGCUCCUCUAGAAUGGAAUGAUACUGAAGACCUCUGUGGAAUACUUUAGUAGAUAAAAUGAAGAAAGGAGCUUUGAAUUUUCUGAGUCGGAAGAACCAGUCUCUUUUCGACCCGAAACUUGAAAUUAAGGAGCUGGAAAAUGCAGACUUUGUGUGGGAUUCCUUAGCCAUUCCUGAAUCAGGAACCGCAAACGUGCGCUUCAGACCAACAGUCAAACAUAAUUCGUCUUCCUCUGAUGUACUUCAAGGAUUUGCAGUCCCAACGCCGAAAGCCCCCCUUCUACCUUCUAUCAAUGGACUGCAUACACCUGAGAGAGUUAAUGGAGACCAGAAUUCCAGAAGUGGCCCUUUGGCUAUUCGUCAUUCAGUUGAAGGAGAGAUCUUCAUCCCACCACCACCUUCCAUGGCACCACCACCACCUCCACAGUUCAUUCCUCCUCCACCAGAGUUUGGCAGCAGGCUGAACUCUUCUUAUGAAUCUCCACCUGCAUCCUCUUUACAGCCUCCACCCAUGUCCCCUCCAAAGCCUCCAUCACAGCUUCCUGCAGCAGAAACUGACCUGGCUUCUCUCAAGCCACCAUCAAUGGCACCUCCAAAGCCUCCUAUAAAACCAUUUAGCACCAAACCCUCAGAUGUUGUUGGAUUAUUUCCAUCCAAUGACGAGAUCAUUCCUGAAAAACCUACAUUUCUUCCCCCACAACCUCCCACACUGUCUGUGGAACAACCUCAGAUUGCUCAUCUCAAGAGUCAUAAAGUUCCACCUCCAAAGCCUGUGAGGCUCUCUUCCAUACCCAGCCAAAAUGAUCUGCCUUCAUUCAUAGCCCCAGCUCUAUCCACUAAUGAACCCACACCCUCCAGCUUCAACCCACAGAAUUCUGCUAAGCUCUACAAUGUACCCAAUACACCCAUCCUGAGUGGACAAAAAAACCAUGAAAUAAAAUCCAAAUCCAUUAUAAUUUUACAAGACCCCCCUACUGAUAAUCACACAAAAGGAAAAGUUCCUUCUGCUCUGACUGAUGUCUCCACAAAGUCCGCCAUACCCCCUGUGAAGCCUGCUCGAAGAAACAGCUCUGGAAUGCAACUAGAGAAGGAUGUAGAACAUUUGAAAUACAACCUUCAGUCCACCCUUCCUAGCCAAACCAGGCUCAGGGGAAUUAAUGUUUCUGAGUCAUUAAUGAAAAAUGAAGAUCCCCCAGAAGCCCUCUCUAAGCUCCAGGAUGUCCCUACAGUCCCUCAAAGCUUAGAAUCAAGUAUUAUGAAGUAUUCAGCAGGGUCACCAGCCAGAACUCACAAGUCCUACAGCGCUUACAGCCACAUACCUUAUGGCCACAGAUCCACUGGCAGUUCCCCAUCCCCAAUGGCUCUCCUGCAGGCUGCCAAAGAGAGAGAGAAACAGAAACGCACAAUGUCUGAGGAAAACUACACUAAAACAAACAGCUCCAGUGAACUCCCCACCAUGAGAAUCUACUCAGCUGAAUCCAGACCAAACAGUAUCAUGGUAGUUCCUAGGAGCACUUUGUCCUCUUCUCAAACAGGACAAGAGCAAAUGGACCAAGGCCAGCUAAGUAUCCCCCAAGACGUACAUUCAAUGCAGAUGCUCUCUAUUAGGCCUUACCAGAUCCCUCAGAGCUCUGAAUCAAUACAGGAGAAAGUUGCUUUCUCUGACUUGAAGCCAAGUAAUCUCCACUCCUCUGUAUUUUCAGUCUCUAGCAAAGAGACUAAGCAUCAGCCUGAUGUGCACACCACUCCCACUGUGCCUUGGUCUAACUCAUUCAUGGAUGAAGAGAAUGGUGAGGAUAUGGGUGUGCCCCUCAUCCCUCCUCCUCCAGAAUUUGCUAACUCUGACAUAGAGGAUGACCGUAGUUUGGUCCAUGUGGAACAACCCCCCAACCUGCCUCCUCCUGAUCCCCCAUCACAGAAAAGCCAGUCUCCUGCAUCAUUCACAAUCGCAAAGUUCCAAAGCAACAUUCCUGCACGUCCUUCUGAUAUCCCAUUACAGAAAAGCAGCCACCCCUCUUCAUCUUCUGUAGUACCCACUCUCCAGAGAACUAGUCCUCUCCCUACCCCUGAUCCCCCAUCAGAGAUUACACAGCCCUCUGCAUCAUCCACAGUUCCUGCCCUCCAGAUCAACAGUCCUGCACCUUCUGACCAUUCAUCACAGAAAAUAACCCAGCACCCUGUACCUGCAGCCCUCAAUUUCCAGAGCAGCCAUCCUGCACCUCCUCCUGACUGUCCACCACAGCCACCUAUAUUACCACCGGUGCCAAUCAUCCACAACAAGGGUCCCCCACCUCCCCCAAAACCCAAACCUUAUGUUACUCCUUUGAAACCCAAUAUGAAAACCAAUCCCUUACCUCAUGCCCUCCCUAAGGGAAUCAAUCCCAUGUCUCCAAGUCAGGCUACUCUGUUGAGUAUUUUGCAGAAGAAGAUGCUGGAAAUGGACCAGAAGCAUCUGCUGCCACAAGUGGACUCAACAAGUGAUGACUGGGGUACACCAUUCUCAGAUGAAGAGAGUGGUGAUGUCUUUCCAAAGAAGAAGCAACUGUCUCAGAGCCAGAGCCUAGAUCUGGGCAAGCUGGAGAGCAAAGAGGCCAAAAGGGUUCAAGCCUCAUCUGUAAAACCUAUUGCCAGCAAGGGACCUCAGUCAAAGCCACCAUGUGGCAUGACUUUUACCGUCCGACCUGGAAGUAAACAACCCAUCACCCUCAUCAGUAAAGAGGAUUCGUCCUGAAGAACCAUAGGAUAUUCUACACUCUUGCAAGUGUAUUUACAGCAACCUUGUUCAGUGCUGUGUCAUGGGUGAGAACAGCACUCCAUAACAAACAAAUAAAUAUGUAACCAACUUGCA
rnacentral:lncRNA from 1 species